rnacentral:rRNA from 1 species
UUACGGGAGGCAGCAGUGAGGAAUAUUGCACAAUGGGCGCAAGCCUGAUGCAGCAACGCCGCGUGAGGGACGAAGGCCUUCGGGUCGUAAACCUCUUUUCUGAGGGACGAGACAAGGACGGUACCUCAGGAAUAAGUCUCGGCUAACUACGUGCCAGCAGCCGCGGUAAAACGUAGGAGGCGAGCGUUAUCCGGAUUUACUGGGCGUAAAGCGCGCGCAGGCGGCUUGGUAAGUUGGACGUGAAAGCUCCUGGCUUAACUGGGAGAGGCCGUUCGAAACUGCCGGGCUUGAGGUUGGGAGAGGGGUGCGGAAUUCCCGGUGUAGUGGUGGAAUGCGUAGAUAUCGGGAGGAACACCAGUGGCGAAGGCGGCACCCUGGCCCACACCUGACGCUGAGGUGCGAAAGCGUGGGGAGUAAACAGGAUUAGAUACCCUGGUAG